rnacentral:lncRNA from 1 species
CCAAAUUCAGCUAAGGUAAUCUAUGCCUGAGGUAGAAAAGCAUUAGUAUUUCAAAAAUUCAAUAUUUUGUAAACAGUUAAUUUAUAAAUGUAACCAUAUCAAUGAUGAUUCAUGUCAGCACAAAAAGUGCUAGUAUUGUCUAUAUCCUGCUUUCUGUGAUGUAUAUGUAUAUGUUAACUUUUCACAGAAUUUACAGGUAUAGUAAAAAUCAUAU